rnacentral:misc_RNA from 1 species
AAGACUAUAGACCUGCGGAGUACCUGCGGAAGGAUCAUUCACAAUAAGUGUUUUAUGGCACUUUAAUUCCAUAUCCACCUUGUGUGCAACGUAGUUCGUUUUUCGAACAAAACAUCAACAUUUUAAUUAUCAACAGAUCGUCUGAAGUAUUAUAUGAAUAAAUCAAUUCAAAAUACAACUUUUAACAAUGGAUCUCU